CGGGUUGUUAUUACAAUGAUUAUUGGCGAUAAUUUUGUUAAUAUUUUGUAUUGUUGUUGAAGAACAAUAAUGAAUAAAGUUUUCCUUUUUGUUAAUUGUAUUUAUCGCGAAAUGGCUGUAUGGACAAGUGUGCGCAACGCGUUGUGGCAUGUUCAUGUUUCCAAGACGCGUUUUGGUCGAUUGUUGAAGGAACCACAACACAGGUUUCGCUUUGUGGCCUUUUUGAGUGUAGCGGAACGCGUUGUGAGCUCUUUUGGGGGUGCCACGACACGAGUUUCGCGUUGUGGUUGAGUCAGAGGGGUCAGAGCGCGAUGUGGUCGUUUUUUUUGCUCAAAGAGCGUUUUCGGUUGUUGAG
rnacentral:lncRNA from 1 species